rnacentral:rRNA from 1 species
UAGCAUAAUCAAUUGUUUUUUAAUUGGGAACUGGAAUGAACGGUUUAACAAUUUUUAAUUAUAUUAUUUUUAAUUAAUGAAUUUUUGUUAUAAGUAAAAAUGCUUAUAUUUUUUAAAGGGACGAUAAGACCCUAGAAGCUUUAAUUAAAAUAAUAUAAAAUAAUUAUAUUUAGAAUUUAUAUUUUUAAUAAUUUUGGUUGGGGAAACAGAAAUUAUAAAAAUAAUUUUUUUAUAAAGUUAUUUAUUAUUUAAUGAUCUUUUAGNUAAAAAAAAAGAAAAAGUUACUCUAGGGAUAACAGCGUAAUUAUUUUNNAUAGGCCAUAUAUAUAAGAUUGAUUACGACCUCGAUGUUGAAUUAAAAUAUCUUUAUAAAGU